rnacentral:rRNA from 1 species
GACAGAGGUGCCAAGCGUUAGGCGGAAUCACUGGGCUUAAAGCGUGUGUAGGCGGGUUGUUAAGUAUCUUGUGAAAUCCCCCGGCUCAACCGGGGAACGGCUGGGUAUACUGGCGAUCUUGAGCGACCUAGGGGCAGUCGGAACAAGUGGUGGAGCGGUGAAAUGCGUAGAUAUCACUUGGAACGCCAAUGGUGAAAACAGACUGCUGGGGGUUCGCUGACGCUGAGACACGAAAGCCAGGGGAGCAAACGGG